GGCAGGCGCCGCCGUCUCCCGCUAGAGGGACCCGGGCUGCCUCCGCGGCCGUGUCGCCCCAGCGGACGGCGAGCGCCUCCGGAGCCGGGACGGCGUCCUCGUCACUUGGGUCUGGCACGGAGUGGGGCCUAGCGAGGGGCUGCACACGGAGGGACGCCGCGGUGGCGCGGGCCAGGCGCUCAGCGGGUGCGCCCCAAGGGUCUGCGGGCCGCGGGGACUUGCUGGCGGGCCUGGAGGCGGGGGGCAGGCUGACGCGUCGCCUCUGGGAGAACCGGGAGACCCGCGGCGAGCAGAGUUGAGGACCGGCCAGCGGGGCGUCCCGGGGCUAGACCUGGGACAUGUCCGAGUGACUGGGGGAGCCCCGGCCGUGCAAGCUUGAGAUACAGUUUAAACUUCAGACAAGGCCGGACUACCCUGUAAACCAGAGACAACUUUUCAUUUGAAUGAACAGAAUCACAGACUACAAUGAAAGGGGGAAAAAAUGUAUCUUGACUGUGACAGUACAUAGAAGCUGCCUUACUCACCACUGUUGGACUAUCAUAGAGACAAUCUCCUGUGCUGCCUCCCACUGGCUGAACCCAAGAGGAAGCCUAAGGGCAAGUGAGCCCUGAUGACGUUGUCCUUCAAGGCCAGCCUCCGGAAAAUGAUGGAGGGUAGAUCUGGAAGGACAAAAGCACAAUAUCUAGCAGAUCAUUCGCUCUGAUGGAAGCGAGCUGCCAUGUUGCAAGCUGCCCUAAAGAGAGGUCCCCAUGGCAAGAAGCUGAGGGAGAUCUCGAGUCAACAGCCAGCUAGGAACUGGGGCUUCAAUCCAAUAACCCAAGAACAAUUGAGACCUACCAACAGCCACAGGAGUGGAGCUUGGAAGCAGAACGUUCUUCAGUUAAGCCUUCAGAUAAGACUGCAGUCCCUCUGGACGGUUUGACUAUAACUUCAUGAGAGACUUUGAGUCCAAACCACCCAACCAUGAUGGCCCCAAAUUUCUGACCCAUAGAAAUUGUGAGAUAUUUGUUGUAAUUUUCUUUUUUUUUUUAAUUUUUUUUUAACGUUUAUUUAUUUUUGAGACAGAGAGAGACAGAGCAUGAA